CUCCUGUAGUUCUGUAUGGGGCUUCCCAAUAACGUUUGGGAAAAGAGAAGAGAGGGCAGCUCUGUGUGGUAAUUUUGUAUCUGUGACUUUGCCAAAUUCAUUGAUGAGCUCUAACAGCUUUCUGGUAGAGUCUUUAGCAUUCUCUAGGUAUAGUAUCAUGUCAUCUGCAGAUAGUGGUAGUUUUACGUCUUCCUUUCCAGCUUGGAUUGCUUUUAUCUCUUUUACUUCUCUGAUUGCUGUGGCUAGGACAUCCAAGACGAUGUUGAAUGCUAGUGGGUGGCGAGAGCAGACAUCCUUGUCUUGUUCCUGAUCUCAGUGGGAAUUCUUUCAGCUUUUCACCACUGAGAGUAAUGUUAGCUGUGGGUUUGUCAUAUUAUGUUGAGGUAGGUUCCCUCUAUGCCCACUUUCUGAAGGGUUUUUUAAUCAGAAAUGGGGGUUGUGUUUUGUCAAGGGUUUUUCUGCGUCUAAUGAGAGGAUCAUAUGGUUUUUCUUCUUCAGUUUGUUAAUGCGGUGUAUCACACUGAUGGAUUUGUGGAUAGUGAAGAACCCUUGCAUCCCUGGGAUAAAUCCCACUUGGUCAUGAUGUACAAUCCUUUUGAAUGUAUUGUUGGAUGCGGUUUGCUGGCAUGUUGUUGCGGAUUUUUGCCUGUAGUUUUUUGUGUGGUACCUUUGUCUGGUUUUGGUAGCAGGUUGAUGGUGGCCUCAUGGAAUGAGUUUGGGAGUGUCCCUUCCUCUACGAUCUUUUGGAAUAGUUUCAGAAGAAUAGGUGUUAGCUCUUCGCUAAGAGUGUUUGGUGGAAUUUGCCUGUGAAGCCGCCUGGUCCUGGACUUUUGUUUGUUGGAAGUGUUUUAAUCACAGUUUCCAUUUCAGGACUUGUGAUGGGGCCGUUCAUCUUUUCUAUUUCAUCUUGGUUUAGUCUUGGAAGAUUGUCCUUUUCUAAGAAUGCGUCCAUUUCUUCUAGGUUUUCCGUUUUAUCGGCGUAUGGUUGCAUGUAGCAGUCUCUUCUGAUCCUUUGUGUUUCUGUGAUGUGCGUUGUUACUUCUCCUUUUUCAUUUCUAAUUUUACUGCUUUGCGGCGUCCUCUCUCUUUUUUUCUUGAUGAGUCUGGCUAAAGGGUUUGUCAGCUUUGUUGAUCUUGUCAAAGAACCAGCUUUUCGUUGCAUUGAUCUUUUCUGUGGUUUUCUUUGUUUCCCUUUCAUUGAUUUCUGCUCGAUCUUUAUGAUUUCUUUGCUUCUGCUGACUUUAGGUCUUGUCUGUUCUUCUCUCUUGAGCUGCUUUAGAUGUAAAGUUAGCUUGUUUAUUUGCUUUUUCUUGUUUCCUGAGGUAGGCUUGUAUGGCUAUAAACUUUCCUUAGAACUGCUUUUGCUGCAUCCCAUAGGUUUUGGAGUGUUGCAUCUUUGUUGUCAUUUGCUUCCGGGUAUUUUUUAAUUUCCUCUUUGAUUUCUCCAGGGAUCCAUUGGUUGUUUCGUAGCGUGUUGUUUAGUCUCCACGUCUUUGUGGUUUUUUGCAGUUUGGUUUUUUUUUUCCCCCUGUUUGCUGAUUUCCAGUCAUAGAGCGUUGUGGUGGGAAAAGAUGCUUGAUAUGAUUUCAAUUUUCUUAAGGUUACCGAGGCUUGAUUUGUAGCCCAGGAUGUGAUCAGUCUUAGAGACUGUUCCAUGUGCACUUGAGAAGAGUGUGUUGCUUUUUGGAUGGCAUGUCCUAUAAGUAGCUAUUAAGUCCAUCUGGUCUAAGGCUUCAUUCAGGGCCUGUGUUUCCUUAUUGAUUUUUCUGUGUGGAUGAUGUGUCCAUUGCUGUAAGUGGGGCGUUAAAGUCCCCCACUAUGAUUGUGUUAUCGUCGGUUUGUCCUUUUAAGGUUGUUAGCCGUUGCCUUACAUAUUGUGGUGAUCCUAUGUCGGGUGUGUAGAUCCUUAAAAUUGUUAUAUCUUCUUCUUGGGUUGAUCCUUUGAUCAUUAGGUAGUGACCUUCCUUGUCUCUUAAAAUAGUCUUCAUUUUAAGGUCUAUGUUGUCCGAUAUGAGUAGUGCUACUGGAGCUUUCUUUUGACUCCCGCUUGCAUGGGAUAUUUUCAUCCAUCUUCUCUCUUUGAAUUUGUAUAUGUGCCUGGAAGUGAAGAGGGUCUCUUGAAGACAGCAUAUAUGUGGGUCUUGUUUUUGUAUCCAUUCGGCCAGUCUGUGUCUUUUGGCUGGGGCGUUUAGUCCAUUCACAUUUAAGGUAAUUAUUGGUAUGUGUGUUCUUAUUGCCAUUUUAUUAAUUGCUUUGGAUUUGUUUUUGCUGCUCUUUUUCCUUCUCUUCUUCUCUUGUGCUCCCCUCUUGUGGUUUGAUGACGAUCUUUAGUGUUGUAUUUGAGUUGGUUUUUCUUAUUUGUUUGUGUAUCAGUUGUAGAUUUUUGAUUUGCAGCUGCUGUGAAGUUUUGAUAGGAGAGUCUAAACAUACACGAGAUUGUUUUACGUUGUUGGUCUCUUAAUUGCGAGGGCAUCUCCAGUGUCCUGCAUCUGUGCCCUCCUCUUCUGACUUUGGUGGCAUAAUUGUGUGUGGACGAUUUUGUAUCUUUACUGUAUAUUAUACCUUUGCUGGUGAGCCUUGCCAUUUGUGGUAUUUUUGUUUCUGGUUGUGGCCUUUUCUUUCCUGCCUGGAGAAGUUCCUUUAGUAUUUGUCGUGAAGCUGGUUUAGCGUUGCUGAAUUCUCUUAGCUUUUGCUUCUCUGUGAAGCUUUUGAUUUCUCCUUCAAAUCUGAAUGAGAGCCUGGCUGGGUAAAGUAAUCUCGGCUGGAGGUUUUUUCCUUUCAUCACGUUAAGUAUGUCAUGCCACUCCCUGCUGGCCUGCAGAGCUUCUGCUGAGAAAUCUGCCGAUAGCCUUAUCGGGGUUCCCUUGUAUGUUAUUUGUUUCUUUUCCCCGGCUGCUUUCAAGCUUUUCUCUUUGUCUUUAAUUUUGGUCGGUUUGAUUAGUAUGUGUCUCGGGGUGUUCCUCCUUGGGUUUAUUUUAUAUGGUACUCGUGGUGCUUCCUGGAUUUGAGUGAGUGGUUCCUCUCCCAUGUUAGGGAAGUUUUCGGCUGUUAUCUCUUUGAAUAUUCUUUCUGUCCCUUUCUCUCUCUCUUUUCCUUCUGGCACCCCUAUGAUACAGCGUUUAACGUUGUCCCAGAGUUCUCUGAGCCUCUCUUCAUUUGUUUCCCGUCCUUUUUCUCUUUUCUGUUCUGCAUCAGCGAUUUCCACUAGUCUGUCCUCCACCUGGCUUAUUCAUUCUUCUGCCUCCUGUAUUCUGCUGUUGGCUGCUUCUAAGUGAACUUUUUAUUUCAGUUAACUGUAUUUUGCAUCUCUUCUUGCUUAAGUUUUACAUCUUGUAAUUCUUUGCUCAGUGUUUGUUGUAAAUUGUCCAUCUUUGCCUCCAGUUUAUUUCCAAUGUCUUGCAUCAUCUUCAGCAUCAACAGUCUAAAGUCUUUUUCCUGGAGGCUGAGACUCUCCAGAUCCCUUGGCUGUUCUUCUGGGGGGUUUUCUUUCUCCCUUCUCUGAGUAUAGUUGGCUGUCUUUUCCUUUUUAUAGGUUUUUGGUGUGGUGACCUUUUUUGCAGAUGCUAGAGCGGUAGCCUCUCUUACUUCUGGCGUCUGCCCCCCUUGUGGCUGAAGUUGGUCCGGGGGGCUUGCUGUGGGCUCCCUUGAUGGGAGGGAGUGGUGCCUGCCCACUGGCAGGUGGAGCUGAUCUCUAUCCCUCUGGCUUUGUCUCUGGGUGAGGUUAGAGGCGGUUGUGUGCCUGGGGGUGGGGUGGGGGGGCUGUGAUCCCACCUGGAUUGUUUGGCCUGGGGCUUCUGAGUGUUUGAUGGGUGGGUCCAGAUUUUCCCCAAAUGGCCACCUCCAGAGGAACACACGCUGAUGAAUAUUCCCAAGAGCUUUGCUUCCAAUGUCCUUCCCCCACAACAAGCCACAUUCAUGCCCUGUUUUUCCAGGAGAUCCUCCAAGACCUGCAGUCAGGUCUGACCCAGAGUCCUCUGGAGCUUUUGCUCUUCCCUGGGACCCAGCGCAGGCGGAAGUCUGUGUGUGCCUUUUAAGAAUGGGGUCUCCGUUUCCCCCAGGCCCGUGGAGCUCUUGCACACAAGCCCCACUGGCCUUCAGUGCCAGAUGCUUGGGGAGCUCUUUCUCCAAUGCCAGAUCCCCAGGCAUGGGGACUUGACGUGGGGCUCAGAACUCUCACUCGUGUGGGUGAGUCUCUGUGAACCAGUUCCUUUCCAGUCUGUGGGGCGUUCCACCCGGGAGGUAUGGGGUUGCUUCUAUGGCAUAAUCGCCCCUCCUACCUCUUGAUGUGGCCUCCCCUUUGUCUUCUGGAGUGGGAUAUCUUUUGGAACGUUUCCAGUCCAUUUGGUUGAAGAUUGCUCAGCAUUUGGUUGUAAUUUUGUUGUUUUUAGGAGAGAAGUUGAGCUCCAGUCCUUCUAUUCCACCAUCUUAAUCCCGUCUCCUCUGGGUUUCCCACUGUCAGUCCUUUGGGUUCUGCAGUUCCUGCCGGUCAGGCAAAAGUUGCUGUCUUUUUGAGGCUCCUGCUAGCUCUGCAGCAUGGCAGAGACGUUUCCCCAGGACUCUCAGCUCUGCCUCGGGAGCAAGGGGUCCCGGCAGGUGCUCUUCCUUAUCCCACACUCGCCCCAGAACUCCAAGGCCUACACUCAGCCCCUCAGCAGCCUUCGGGGUCCCCUGAUGCCCCCACCAGCUGAACCAGGAGGCAGAGGCAGCAGGCCCCAGCAAGGAGCACAACCAGCUCUGCAAGGUUGAUGCCAACCAGCGCUGAGUUGUAAUAGAGACUUCGUGAUCUAAAGAGUAGACAUUAACUAUGUGAUUUGGUGGGAAGAGUGGAUGGGUUCCUGUGUGUGUGUGUGUGUGUGUGAGAGAGAGAGAGAGAGAGAGAGAGAGAGAGAGAGAGAGAGUGGGGGAGGGGAGAGAGAGCAGGGGAGGGAGAGAAGGACACAAAGGAGGGCAUGAGAAGAAAGGCUGAAAUGAAAACAAGAGCAGGGAGUUCCCUGGUGGCCUAGCAGUUAUGGAUCUGACGUUAUCACUGCAGUGGUUCUGAUUACAGCUGUGGUGCAGGUUUGAAUCCUGGCCCGAGAACUUCCACAUGCUGUGGGCCCAGUCAAAAUUAAAAAAAAAAUAAUACUAAUAAAUUAAAUUAAGACAGAGCAGAGAUCACCAUCCCUAAGUUAAAUAAGAAUUGGGUUGUGAGGGAGCAUGAUGGAGGAUAAUGUGAGAAAAAGAAUACAUGUGUGUAUGACAGAUUCACUUUGCUGUAGAGUAGAAAUUGACAGGCCACUGUAUAUCCAUUAUAAUGGAAAAAAUAAAAAUCAUUAAAAAAAAUGGGGGUGGGCGUUCCUGCUGUGGCACCAUGGGUUAAGAGUCCUACUGCGGUGGCUCAGGUGUCUGGGCGGUGAGGGUUUGAUCCCCGGCCAGGCACAGUGGGUUAAAGGAUCCAGUAUUUGGCGCAGCCAUGGCGUAGGUGGCAGCUGCCACUCGGAUUCAGUCCCUCGCCUGGGUGUGGCCAU
rnacentral:lncRNA from 1 species